rnacentral:rRNA from 1 species
CGGAAGUGCGAUAGGGGAAUCCCAAGUGCGAGGGCAUAUUAGCCCUCGCUUUUGUUGACUGUAAGGUGGUCGACGAAUAAGAGCUGGGCAAGACCGGUGCCAGCCGCCGCGGUAAUACCGGCAGCUCAAGUGAUGUCCCAUAUUAUUGGGCCUAAAGCGUCCGUAGCUGGCCGACCAAGUCUCCCGGGAAAUCCACCCGCCCAACGGGUGGGCGUCCGGUAGAAACUGGCCGGCUUGGAACCGGAAGGCUCAGAGAGUACGUCCGGGGUAGGAGUGAAAUCCCGUAAUCCCGGACGGACUACCGAUGGCGAAAGCACUCUGAGAAGACGGCUUCGACAGUGAGGGACGAAAGCUCGGGUCUCAAACCGGAUUAGAUACCCGGGUAGUCCGAGCUGUAAACGAUGCUCGUUAGGUGUGGCACCCACUACGAGUGGGUGCUGCGCCGCAGGGAAGCCGCU